AUUGAACGCUGGCGGCAUGCUUUACACAUGCAAGUCGAACGGUAACAGGCCUUCGGGUGCUGACGAGUGGCGAACGGGUGAGUAAUGCAUCGGAACGUACCCAGAGGUGGGGGAUAACGCAGCGAAAGCUGUGCUAAUACCGCUUUUGAUCUGAGGAUAAAAGCGGGGGACCGAGCAGAAAUGUUUGGCCUCGCGCCUUUGGAGCGGCCGAUGUCGGAUUAGCUAGUUGGUGGGGUAAAGGCCUACCAAGGCGACGAUCCGUAGCUGGUCUGAGAGGACGACCAGCCACACUGGGACUGAGACACGGCCCAGACUCCUACGGGAGGCAGCAGUGGGGAAUUUUGGACAAUGGGCGCAAGCCUGAUCCAGCAAUGCCGCGUGCGGGAAGAAGGCCUUCGGGUUGUAAACCGCUUUUGGCAGGAACGAAACGGUGUCCGCUAAUACCGGGCGCUAAUGACGGUACCUGCAGAAUAAGCACCGGCUAACUACGUG
rnacentral:rRNA from 1 species